AUUGAACGCUGGCGGCAUGCCUUACACAUGCAAAUCGAACGGUAACAGGCCUUCGGGUGCCGAUGAGUGGCGAACGGGGGAGUAAUACAUCGGAACGUGCCCGAUCGUGGGGGAUAACGGGGCGAAAGCUUGGCUAAUACCGCCUACGAUCUACGACUGACAGCGGGGGACCGCAAGGCCUCGCGCGGCCUGGGCGGCCGAUGGCAGAUUGGGUAGUUGGUGGGAUAAAAGCUUACCAAGCCGACGAUCUGUAGCUGGUCUGAGAGGAUGAUCAGCCACACUGGGACUGAGACACGGCCCAGACUCCUACGGGAGGCAGCAGUGGGGAAUUUUGGACAAUGGGCGCAAGCCUGAUCCAGCCAUGCCGCGUGCAGGAUGAAGGCCUUCGGGUUGUAAACUGAUUUUGUACGGAACGAAAAGCCUUCUUUUAAUACAGGAGUGUCAUGACGGUACCGUAAGAAUAAGCACCGGCUAACUACGUG
rnacentral:rRNA from 1 species